rnacentral:rRNA from 1 species
AGCCCCACCACCAAAGCAUUUGCUGUACCGCGUUGACGGAGCGAAGCGACGUCAAACCGAUAAAACAGCAGUGUAAAGUGAGCCGCAGGGCGCUUUGCGCGACAGCGCAAAGGCAGGCGGUUUCGCGUAGCGAAAGCGAAUGCUUUGGGGUGGGGUGACUGCGUACCUUUUGUAUAAUGGGUCAGCGACUUAUAUUCUGUAGCAAGGUUAACCGAAUAGGGGAGCCGGAGGGAAACCGAGUCUUAAUUGGGCGUUAAGUUGCAGGGUAUAGACCCGAAACCCGGUGAUCUAGCCAUGGGCAGGUUGAAGGUUGGGUAACACUAACUGGAGGACCGAACCGACUAAUGUUGAAAAAUUAGCGGAUGACCUGUGGCUGGGGGUGAAAGGCCAAUCAAACCGGGAGAUAGCUGGUUCUCCCCGAAAGCUAUUUAGGUAGCGCCUCGUGAAUUCAUCUCCGGGGGUAGAGCACUGUUUCGGCUAGGGGGCCAUCCCGGCUUACCAACCCGAUGCAAACUGCGAAUACCGGAGAAUGUUAUCACGGGAGACACACGGCGGGUGCUAACGUCCGUCGUGAAGAGGGAAACAACCCAGACCGCCAGCUAAGGUCCCAAAGUCAUGGUUAAGUGGGAAACGAUGUGGGAAGGCCCAGACAGCCAGGAUGUUGGCUUAGAAGCAGCCAUCAUUUAAAGAAAGCGUAAUAGCUCACUGGUCGAGUCGGCCUGCGCGGAAGAUGUAACGGGGCUAAACCAUGCACCGAAGCUGCGGCAGCGACACUGUGUGUUGUUGGGUA